rnacentral:lncRNA from 1 species
UUGUGCUCCUGAUGAACAUUUACCUUGUUUUGUUUUAUUUUGUUUUUUCUUUGUACUCUUUUGUUGAUGGGUGAACCAAGUUAAUUGAAAGGAAAGUGGACGUUUUUGAAUAUUUUCCCAAAAGUCGUAUUUUUAUCUGCAGUUCAAACUUUAAUUUUGCUCUAAAUGUAACAGACAGACAUAAUAUUAAAAUUGUUGGGAAUAUUCCUAUUUAGAAAUUUGCUCAUAGAGAUAGAUAUCAAUUCCUUAUAAAAACAGUCUAAUUAACCUAAAUAUUCAAGAGCAGUUUUCUUUCUGUUUCCUUUCAUGUAACAUGCAUCAUUCAUAAUUAUUUAAUUGUUCUUGAAAUGGAUGUUAAAACAGGUGACAAAGUAUGGAAUAUUAAUUUUAUGUUUUGUUUAUUGAGAGAGAUAUAUAAUUGACGAAUAUAAGAAUAGUCAAAGAUAUGUGAAAUGUGUCCAUCAGCAAAAUGAUAUUAACAUCUUGCUACCAUUAAAUGUUUUUUUUUUGUCAGACCAAAUGUUUGCUAAGUGUAAUAGUUACUUGUGUAUCAUUCCAAAAUUCAUGCAUACGGUGGAUUUGAGUUUAUGACCAAAUAACUUCCGAAAAACAUAGUUAGCUGAUGGUCACGUUUCAGAUAAUUCCCUAGCUUUUUAUUUUUCUGAUUCCUUGUUUUUCCUUUCUUUUCUGUUUAUGCUUGUAAUGUUAGAAUUUGUUUAUUGUGUGAAGUGUUAAAGAAAGCAUUUACUUGUAUGCCCAUUGUUGUAGAUUUUUUUUGUGACAUAUGACAUCUGAAUGCAUCAGACACUGUUUUGGAGAAUGUACAUAAUAACUUUAUCGGACAGAAAUUUAGGCCAUAAGAGCUUCAUUACAGGUUAAGGUUUUGAAAUGGGAAUAAAUUUACUUUUUGAAACAAAUUUGCUGUAUGCAGAAGAUAAACCUUUUAAGCCUUGUAUCAAAGGUAAGGUAAAAGUUUGAACUCUAAAAUAUAAGAUCUAGAGAAAGCCAUGAAAUUGCCUGAAUAGUCACAAAACAAAUCUACUAACUGUAGUGUUGUGAAAGAAUUUUGACAAAAUUUCAUUCAUUUCAUCUGAUUUUGUCAUCGUUCUUAUGUAUGUGGGGUUUUAUAUUGUUUAUUUCGUUUGUUAUAUUUAGUUAUUUGUGAUACCCUUUUCCAAAGAUGUUUUAGUUAAAUCAACAAAAAUUGUUAAGUGCUUACUAUAAAAAUCAGUAAGCUCAACUAAAAGUUUGGGAAAUUUUGAAGGAAAGUAAAAUUAUUUGUUACACAAAUUUAUACAAAAAUUACUUUACAAUAGAAACAUUGGGCUUACAUCUUAUUCCAUCAAGAAAGCACAAUGAUACUUCAGCCCAAAUUGACACAAUUGAAAAACUCUGCUGAGCUUUUGUAUUUGAAAAGAAAUCUAGAGAACUUAGCUCCAAGCAAAUGAGUAUGGUUUUUUAGACCAGUCCCGGCAUGCAACUUUGCCACUGGACAAUUUCAGAAUUGCUCUCAAAUUCAACAAAUUAGAUUUUUCAAGUUUUGAGACAAGUCCCGCGACUCCUCUGUCAGGAACCUAUGAAUUGGGUUUACUAAGAUUACCAAGUCCAUAUGUUUGUAUUUGAAUAAAGAAUUGUGCCAAAAA